rnacentral:ncRNA from 2 species
CAUCCCGAGGAGCGCUGCAACGGGUUCCGGCAUGUCCGGAACCGCCAGGCUCGGGGCCGUGUACCAACCGCGCUCGUUGAUC